CCAGAUCGUUUACCGUGAAAAAAUUAGAGUGUUCAAAGCAGGCAGAUUCAAUUUUCUGCCACCGAAUACAUUAGCAUGGGAUAAUGGAAUAGGACCCUGUCCUCCUAUUUUCAGUUGGUUUUGGCAGCGCGAGGACUAGGGUAAUGAUUAAUAGGGAUAGUUGGGGGCAUUAAUAUUUAA
rnacentral:rRNA from 1 species